rnacentral:lncRNA from 1 species
AAAAUGCAGCCGGCAGAGAUUCCACAGCUGGAAAGCUGACUGUUGCAGUAGAGAAACUGGCCAAAAUCCACCAAGAUGGCGACAAGAGUGACUUCUGGUCAUCCUCACUGCUACACUCCCACCAGCGCCAUGACAGUUUACAGAUUCAAGGUAACGUCAGGAAAUUACCCUAUAUGGUCUAAAAAAAGGGGAUACAUGAAUAAUCCACGCCUUGUUUAGCAUGUCAUUAAGAAAUAACCAUAAAAAUGGGCAACCAGCAGCCCUUGGGGCUGCUC